rnacentral:rRNA from 1 species
UACGGGGGGGGCAAGCGUUGUUCGGAAUUACUGGGCGUAAAGGGCGCGUAGGCGGCCUGCUAAGUCGGACGUGAAAUCCCUCGGCUCAACCGGGGAACUGCGUCCGAUACUGGCAGGCUUGAAUCCGGGAGAGGGAUGUGGAAUUCCAGGUGUAGCGGUGAAAUGCGUAGAUAUCUGGAGGAACACCGGUGGCGAAGGCGGCAUCCUGGACCGGUAUUGACGCUGAGGCGCGAAAGCCAGGGGAGCAAACGGG